UGAUCCUCGGAUCAGAGAACGGAAGAAGCCA
rnacentral:piRNA from 1 species